UAAAUGAAGAUCCAAGAAAGCAUGUAAGAAAGAGUGUACACCACCGAAAAAAGAAUGAAAAACCCUAAACCCUAGAACCUUCAUUCCUUCCUUACAAUGGCGGCUGAACUUCCACCGGAAAUUCUCACCGAAAUCUUCUCCCGUUUACCGGUAAUAUCACUUCUCCGAUUCCGAUCAACUUCAAAAUCACUUAAAUUCUUAAUCGAUUCCUACAAAUUCAUCAACCUUCACCUCAGAAAUUCCCCCAAUCGAUCCUUAAUCCUUCGAUUCAAAUUCGAUAUCUACCAACUUGAAAUCAAUGAUGAUUUCUCUAAUCCAGGCGUAUUGGUGCUACUUAUUCCACACAACCACCCUUUCACCGCCAACAGCGAGCAUAACAACACCCUUACUCUUAUCGGUUCAUGUAACGGCCUCCUCGCCAUGUCCCACGGCGUAAUGGCUUUCACGCAUCCCAACGCCCCCAACGAAAUCGCAAUCUGGAACCCUUACACCGGUAAAUAUCGGAUUAUCCCUUUUCUCCCUCUUCCCAUCCCUAACAUUCUCCAAUCUGACAACCCUAAUCGUGGCUGCUUAUGCGUUCACGGCUUCGGUUUUGAUUCUUUAUCCGGCGAUUACAAACUCCUCAGAAUCUCUUACUUGCUCGAUCUACAAAACCCUUUUUAUGAUCCACAUGUUAGACUCUUCAGCUUGAAAACAAACUCAUGGAAAAUAAUUCCUAAUUUUCCUUACGCUCUUUACUAUACUCGAACAAUGGGUGUUUUUGUUGAGAAUUCUAGUUCUCUUCACUGGGUUGCGUCCAGGAAAAUUCAACCAUUUCAAUCUGAUUUAAUUCUCGCUUUUAACCUUUCACUUGAGACUUUCAACGAGGUUCCUCUUCCUGAUGAAAUAGGGGAACAAGUUAAUAGUAAGAGUUUUAAAAUUCGUGUUGCUGAUUUAGGAGGGUGUCUUUGUAUGACUGUGGAUUAUAAAGAUACUAAAAUUGAUGUUUGGGUGAUGAAAGAAUAUGGAUGUAGAGAUAGUUGGUGUAAACUUUUUACUGUGGUUAAAUCGUGUUUCGAUGAUUUACCUGUGGAAUCUUUGAGGCUUUUAGGUUAUUCCAUUGAUGGAAAAAAGGUUUUGUUGAGGGUAGAUGUUGUGAAUCUGUUUUGGUAUGAUUUGGAGAGUAAUCAAGUUAGUCAUUUUCAAGAAGAUCUUGAUUUGGAUGACGCUAUGAUUUGUGUUGGAAGUCUUGUACCACCACCUUGCGAGGAUCCUACAAGCGAGAAAAGGGACGACUUUUUGUCCAGAGAAUUUAAAUUGAGACUGUAAGCGAUGGACGGAAGGACCUGUGAAGUGCAGCUGAAACAGGAUGCUCCAGUUGUUUCUUGUGAUGGAAUUAGUCACCUUGGUUAGGUUGAAUUGGUAAUGAUGGAGAACUGUCCUUUCGCCUAUGGUUGUAGUAUCGAUUUGAUGUAGCACUUACUUGCGGGUGUUGAAACUUCAAAGUUAUAUUUAGUUGGUCUCGUAAAAAGAUCCUUUUGAACUGUGUAUGCAAAAGCUUGAAGAAGAGAAAGAAAUCAUUCUUAAACAAAUUUCAGAGAAUGUGAAAGAAAAAAUUGAUGAAGGAUUGCAGAACUAAGAACUUUAGGGCUCAACCAUGCAUAAAAGGUUAAACUCAUACUGUUUUGGUGAUUAUGUUAUCAACAGAUAAAUGUUAGAGAAAAUUUAUUUCAUAUCUUCAGUGUUUGUAUGUCAAUUUGCAGAGCACAUUUUCCUUUUAGGCGAGGCUUUCUUUUUUGUUUGGAAUUGAUUGAAUAAAAAAAGUUGAUUAUUCUGAA